CCUACGGGGGGCAGCAGUGGGGAAUAUUGGGCAAUGGGCGAAAGCCUGACCCAGCGACGCCGCGUGGGUGAUGAAGGCCUUCGGGUUGUAAAGCCCUGUCAUGCGGAAAGAACGACCCUGAGACGCAUACUCUCAGGGAGUGACGGUACCGCAGGAGGAAGCACCGGCUAACUCCGUGCCAGCAGCCGCGGUAAUACGGAGGGUGCAAGCGUUGUUCGGAAUUAUUGGGCGUAAAGGGCGCGUAGGCGGUAAUGUAAGUCAGAUGUGAAAUACUCCGGCUCAACCAGAGAACAGCAUCUGAAACUGCAUAACUAGAGUACAGAAGAGGGAAACGGAAUUCCCGGUGUAGAGGUGAAAUUCGUAGAUAUCGGGAGGAACACCAGUGGCGAAGGCGGUUUCCUGGUCUGAUACUGACGCUGAGGCGCGAAAGCGUGGGGAGCAAACAGGAUUAGAUACCCGUGUAGUC
rnacentral:rRNA from 1 species